rnacentral:hammerhead_ribozyme from 1 species
CUCUAGCUGACGAGUCCCAGAUAGGAUGAAACGUGCAUCCUGGAU